UACGGAGGGUGCGAGCGUUGUUCGGAAUCACUGGGCGUAAAGCGCGUGUAGGCGGCCCACUAAGUCUGAUGUGAAAGCCCGGGGCUCACCCCCGGAAGUGCAUUGGAAACUGGUGGACUCGAGUCCCGGAGAGGAGAGUGGAAUUCCUGGUGUAGCGGUGAAAUGCGUAGAUAUCAAGAGGAACACCUGCGGCGAAGGCGGGUUGCUGGGCCGACACUGACGCUGAGGCGCGAAAGCUAGGGGAGCGAACGGG
rnacentral:rRNA from 1 species